CUUUUUACAACCAGAAACAAAGUUAUUUGACCAAGGAAACAGUUCAAGGCUCCAGCUCCGAAACAGUGUAACAAUUCAACUGGAUUUCGGUUUUCUGCUGGGGGGUGGGGUGGGGAGGAGGUAGUUUCACGUCAGACCCAUAACAAAGCAUAGAUAAGCCAGAAAUGUGUACACUUUUCACAAUUAACCAGACUGGAUUGUAGGCGGGAUGUCCAAGAGUCCCCAACACAGCCUUUGCCACGGUCCUGUUCACGACAGAUCAGAAUUCCAGGGAACAGAUUACUUCCUUCUGCAGCAAAGAAAAUGUAAAACGCCCAAGGUGCUUCCAGAGGUUUUACGUAACAACAAUGAAAAGAAAGUGCUGAUGUAAGUUGCAGGCUAUUUCAUUGGUCUGUGAUGCUUUUGGUUGGUAGUUUAGGUGAAUCUUCCACAACUCCCAUUUUUUCCAUGAAAGCCAAGCAUCUGCUUCAACAAAAUCACUUUGGAUGAAUAUCAAUAUGGUUUAACCUCUUCUUAGUCAAAUUAAGGCAUAGUUUGCUGUCGUUUUCAAAGAUGUCCAAAAUAUUGCCAAAAAGAGAGCAAGGUUCUUUCCACUUUUAUUACCAGGAUCCCAAGGCGGUUUGUUGGCUGCUUUGCAAAAUUCGGUAAAAUCUUCUUAACUGCUCGAUGUUUGCAACUACAGCAUAAAUGCAACCCAGGCAUUUAUGUUUCCUUCUUCCUCCAAAAAUAGACACAUCCGUGUGGUUAAAGAAUAAACGGAUAUUUCUGAGCCUGCAAGAAAAAAAAAAUUGCACAAUAAUUUCUUUCUUCACAUUCAAAAGUUCCAGGUUCCCUGCUCUGGUCUGGCUAACAGGAGUAGGUAUGGCAAACAAACAAACAACCAAACAAACACAAAAACCAAAUCAGGAAUCAGACACAAAAAGGCAGUUUGCUUGACAAGAUGAAAUCUCAGCCAUAGUUCCCCACCCCCACCCUUCAUCUUCCUUGUAAUUUCCUAGGAAUUUUGAAGAGAAUUGGGAAUUUCAAGAAGUACAUCCGGAAAUUAAGGAAGUCUAUUUAAGAGAGUCUGUAACUCAGGAGGCUGGGAUUUGAAAAGUCAGCCCUGGACUACUGUUGCACUCAGCACAGAUGUAAUCGCCGCUCUUCAACUUAAUCAAUGUGUGUACAAACCGCGAUGUCUAGUUCUUGCCUUUGAAAUCUAAGGCUAGCAUUUCCAUCCAAGAAAUCAGAGCUACAGCAAAUUACAUUUUUGUCCCUUGAAUGAGGGAAGGAUCAUUGAAUGGAUCUCGUGAUAUUUCAGGCUUUAAACGUAACCGAGAGGCAGCAAUGAACAAUGCCUCGUCACAGCUAAUACCAUCCACCGAGUUGGCUUUCUUUUGCAUCUGGAUCUAUCACACCGCGUUUUUCUCUUUCACUUUCACAGGAGGCAAAAUGCACAAGGUUUAAACAGAAAGCGAAGUUUCCAGGAAUAUCAUAUGCUGGUGUUUGUUUUUUAAAAU
rnacentral:lncRNA from 1 species